rfam:Oryza glumipatula chromosome 3, whole genome shotgun sequence.
AAAAAGACAAACCCUGGGUUUUCGUGUCCAACUUUGACUGUCCGUCUUAUAUGAAAUUUUUUUAUAAUUCGUAUUUUCAUUGUUGUUAGAUGAUAAAACAUGAUUAAUAUUUUAUGCGUGACUUGUCUUGUUAAUUUUUUCAAAUAAGACGGACGGUCAACAUGUUGGACACGGAAAACAGGGUUUGUCUUUUU